CAACUUGGCAGAAUAAAAUGCAAUAAAUUUAGAAUUUAUUUAUGAAUUAUAAUUCAGUUGAAA
rnacentral:tRNA from 1 species